UCCUAAACAUGAUGUCCAGCACACUGAUAGGACGUGGGAGAUUCCUGUCCUUUCCACUCUUCAGUCUGCUCCAGCCCACCCACGUCGUACGUGGCCCUGGAUCCUUCAUGUUCAUGAAGUUCCCAGAAAUCCACAGCAGCAUGCCUGCCAAGCUCUCGGUGGGCAUCGUUCUCAAGGUCGUUGUUAUUGCGUGAGAGGCUGGGGCUGCCGCAUUGACUCAUUCUUUAUCAAAUCUGUGGAUGGGUCCCCGUGCUCUGAUGGGUGUAACCUGGAAUGAGCUAGAGGAAGCCCUGGCUCCCUUAAGUUGUCUCUACCAUGGAACCAGGAGAGAAGCUGACAUGCUGCGUGCUUUCGUUUCCUCCUUUCCUUCUGGUCGCUGCAGCUUCCUUUACACAUCUGGAUCUGUUUCCCAAGUCUGUUUUCCGAGACGGGCGAGCAGAGGACCAGAAGACUAGCCAAUGGCAGCAGAGUUUGGCUCCUUCCCACCCUGCACUGCCAAGAGCCUCCUGGGCUUCUCUCUAGAGUCAUCAUAUGAUAUCGUUUAGAUUGUCCUGAUAAGCGGAGCCUUCUGGAUAGAGGCUGGGGGCGAGGGAGGGCCAACUCAGGGAGAGGACUGCAGAGGAGGCAGGGGGUCCUGAGGGUCAAGUAUAGUGUCGAGAAGCCAAAUCCGCCCACUUUCUUCAGCUCCAGAACUCCACUGUGUGCCUCAUCUCCUCCUGUGUGGCUUGAGACCUUGAUGGCGACAAGGAGGGGCCGGUACCCAGGCUUUACAAGGAAUCCCUGGAGACCUGUACACAUGGGCUCUGGCAGUGCCACGGCACAGGGGAUGGAGGGUUAUGUCAGGGCUCGGGGAUCUUCAGCCCUGUGCUCUGUCUCUUUGCUCUUAUGGCCCUGGGAGUCAGCUUUUCUGCUGGGGGAACUUCCAAGGACAUCUGCACAGGAAGGUGGACUCUGGAGCUUGCUUAGGGAUUCCAGGAACAUGGAUUUCCUUUUAAUUCAUAGAUAGAAGAAUCCAAGCCUCCUGGGAGUGAUUAUAAAGGUCACAAAUGCAAUGUAACUCAAUGUGAAAUUCAAGCCAGGGCUUCUAUGCCUGUCCGAGACCCAGGACAUUUCUGUCUUCCAUUCAUUCCUUCACUAAGGAUACCUCUCCCACCCCCACCCCAGUCUGUACUGAGAGUCACAAGUCAUAGGGUUUAGUCACAGGGGACUGAGAGGAGGGAUAACUGUGAAAGACUGUGAGCCCCGGGCAAGUAUUCCCUUGGCAGAUAGACGAGAGAGGAGAACAAUGCGUGGUAGUGGCAGGACUUGAGCCGCCGUGGUGGUCCUGGGCUAUUGACACGAGCCGUCAUGUUGCCUCUAGGUUAUCGACACAAGCCAUCAUGGUGACCCUGGGCUAUUGACAUGAUCCCUCGUGGUGGCAAUGGGCUAUCUAUAUGAGCAGUCAUGGUGGCCCUGGGCUCUCAUAAAGCCUCCCCAGAGGCUCUACCCAACUCUUGUGAGUGAAGAGGGGCUAUCUUAAUUACUUUCCCCUGUUCUUUCCCAUUGCUUACAGUAAUUGUUACUAUAAAACUUAAAGAUUUAUUUAGUCAUGUGUAUAUAUGUGUGUGUGUGUAAGUAUAUGUGUAUGUAUGUAUGCAUGCAUGUAUGUAUUAGUUGCACUUCCCUUGCUGUGAUAAGACACCAAGACCAAGGCAACUUGCAGAACAAAGGGUUUAUUUGGACUUGUGGUUCCAGAGGGAUAGGAGUGCCUGGAAGCAAGCUGUCCGUGGCUGCCAGAGCAGCAAGCUGAGGGAGGGCUCACAUCUUGGAUUGAAAACACUGAACAGAGAGAGCAAACUAGAAAUGGCAUGGGUCCUUAAACUCUAGAAGCCUGCCCCCAGUGAAUGCUUCUUCUAACAAGGCCACAUCUUCUAAAUCUCCCCAAAUAGUUCCACCAACUGGGGACCAUAUGCUCAAAUAGAUGAGACUAUAAGGAACAAUUUCAUUCAAACCACCACAAUUUGUGUUUUGGAGGUUAUGUGCACAGGGGUACAGGUGCCAAGGGAAGCCAGAGAGAGCACGGGAUCUCCAGAAGUUAGAGUUACAGGUAGUUGUAAGCCACCCAAUGUGGGUGUUGAGAAUUGAACUUGAGUCCUUGAAAGAGCAGACAACACUAAGCCACCUCUUCAGUUCCUUAUUACAUUUUUUUCCCCUUGCUUGAUGUAUACCUAAGCCUUGAGAUUGCCAGGUCUACAAUGGCAAGAAGCACACCAGUCCCAGCAGUGCCUGCCUACACAGUUCACUUAACUCAUACUUUAUUCCAAGCAGCCGAAGUGGGUGUCUCCUAAGGAACCCAGGCUACAGAGUCUCCUGUGCAACUCAGGCUGGCCUCCAGCUUGUCAUCCUCCCUACUUCUGAUUCUCAAGUGCUGGGGACACAGGUAUGUACCAUCACACCUGGUCAGAGAUCAUGUGUGUGUGUGUGUGUGUGUGUCUAUCAAUCAAUCAUCUAUCAUAUUGUAUCGUAUCAUAUCGUAUCGUAUCUAUCUAUCUAUCUAUCUAUCUAUCUAUCUACCUACCUACCUACCUACCUAUCACCUAUCUAUAUCUGUCUGUCUAUCAUCUGUCUGUCUGUCAUUUAUCUAAUCUUGAUGAUCAGUUUGAAAAAUGAUAUAACCCAAAAUAGCAGAUGGCUGUGGUAGUUAAUGCUGUCAACUUGACGAGAUCCUUCCAGAAUCAACUGUUUGAGGUUAUUUGGACUAAGUGAGCCUUUGCUAGCAGGCUGUUUGGUGAUCUUGGUUAGGUUAAAUGAGGUGGAAGACUCCUCUAAGGGAGGGUAGCACCAUUUCCCCGCUUUGAGACCCGCACUUCAGGAAAUUGGGAAAGCUGUCUGGGUGUGGGCAUUCAACUCUCUCUUCCUCCUGACUGGACACAGUGACCAGUUUCCCCAAGCUUCCCCACUCAGGACUUUCCCACCAGGAGGGACUGUUUCCCCUCCAACUGUGAGCUGAAAUAAACCCUUUGUCUCUU
rnacentral:lncRNA from 1 species